CUGUUGGAGAUCCAUGCCUGCCUGAGGCCUUCCAAGUCAGAAAUUCGGGGAACAGCAUACUCAGAUGGUUUUGAGAGAGCUUUGAACCAAUGUGUUCAUAGGGAGCAGAGUGAUGGAUGUGCGGCUGAAGACACGUAUCUGACAUUUGUUUUGGAUUUCUGCUGUUUGGAUCUUCCAUGAAGCAUUUGAGAAUUUUGCAAUGUGUGGACAACUUCAAAUAGGAAAAAAAAAAAAAAAUCAAAUGAUCCACUUUUGAUAAACGCUGUGGUAUUCAAGAGAGGAGAUUCUGCCAACAGAGAGAGAAUAUGUAAGUGUUGUUUCAAGAAACAGUUUUGACCUGGGUGAUAGAAGUAAAAUGAGGAAUUCUUUUCUCCACAAAAGACUAAGAACACGAGAGUAUGCACAGGCUGGAAUGCUUUUGAUCAUUCUCCCUCCUGUCUCGUCCCUCCAAGCCUCCCUCCCAAAAAAGCAGAUCUGUUGGCACCAAGUACUUUCAGCAUUUUUUUACAUGCUGAGUGCGGCCCAGACCUCAUUAAAUUGUUUUCGUAGCAAGAUGAGGAAAGGGACCUUAUGGAUGGAUCUACUGACAGAUAGUUUUCAACUUUCACACGGACUUGGUCCUGAAGUACCCUUGACUUGAGUAAAGACCUAGGUAAAGAAAAUCACUGCAGCCUCUUGCUCUUCAUAUGUAUGUUCUGAGUCAGAUGUUUCUCUCCAGAAAACCCUGUGAAAGGAUUCAUUGGUAAAGAUCCAAUUGCAAAAUCUUAGUCUAAAGUAGUGGUGGUUUCUUUCAACACAGAAAAUAAGUGCAAAGUGCAUGUAAGCGUUAAGUCUACUGGUAGUGCUACCUCCCUGUCAUAUAUUUUCACUUGAUAAAUAUUACUUUUUUCAGCAUUACUUUUCACUUUCCAUAUUAUGAGGUUUAUUUAUGUUUGUUAUCUCUUCAGUAAUCUGACAGAUUUUAUUUUCUGGUAGCCAAAAUUUCAUGGUAUCUCUGCAAUCUUUGCUAAAACCCCUUUGUUUCACCCUAAUUUUACCAGUCUUAUAGUGUGUUCAUCAAAUACUAGUAGCCAUCUAUCACAUCUUUUCUGACUUAGCCAAACUAUAUAUACAACUCUUUCAUUACAACACAUGGAAAAAGGAAAGACAGAUGAACCAUAUCUGAUUAUUUCUGCAUGAAUAAGGUUUUCUUAGUUAAACAGAGAACCUUUUUAUGUGGGGAAAAAAAACCACCAAAAAACAUGCAGAUUAUUGGCCCGUGUAACUUUAUUUAUGAAGUUUUCGAAAAGUUCAUUAUUGACUGACUUGUCUGUGUUGUAGUGUUGUUGCAUUUUAUUAUGUACAUAUGUACUUGGGAGCCUUGGUAAAAUGCAGAUUAAUGAACCAUUCUGAUAAAUACUUGCAAACAGCUUUAAACUGAGAUGGUUGCUCUGGUUGCAUAACCACCCAUUCUUUUUAUUUCAAAAAAGAAAACUCCACUGGAGUGGAUCUCUAUUUGAAAGUUGUCUUUUUUUUUUUUCUUCUUUUUUUAAGGUUAUAAUUAUCCUAGUAAGGUGCUAACAGCACCUCGGAGUCAUUCUAGUGCUGUACAUUGUGUGUUCCUAGGCUUUCAAAUCUUUUGUUUUUAAAUUACAAACUUAAAAAAUAUAUAUAGUAAUUAAAAAUUCAACAUAUUCUAGUCCUGUAUCUUGUUUUCUGAGUUUCAGUCUGGAGCAAAAUUUUUGAAGUUAUAAACCUUUGAAAAUAGGGUUUUACACCACUUUAGCUAUAGUGAUGCUAGCAAAGCAGUAUAGUAUACACCAGAAAUAGAAAACAAGAUUAGAGAUGACAUUUAGGACAUGAGGAAAAAUAACUGUGUUCUGUUCCUUUCCACAGCCUGAAAAAGACCUUCUGGUCUAAAUAUCAUCUCUAAUCCUAUUUUCUAUUCCUAUCAUAUAUUCAAUUAACCUAUUUUUAAAUUAUUAUUGACACCAAUUAGUCACAUUUUCAAGUACCAGAUCAAAUUGUGCGCUCCCCAGCUACUGUCACGGUGAUGGGGAAAGGGACACUGAGACUGGUCACUUUGUAAUAUUUCUGUAUGAAAGACUCAGUCCUGAAGCUUGCUGGAUCCUAUCCCUACCAGCUGCAAUGAUAAAUCCAUUAUAGGAAGUCUUUCACUUGCGCCAGAACAAGGAGCUGCAGGGUUGUGCUGAUAUGCAAACCAUUUUUUCUAACGGCAAACUAAAUGUUCACAAUUAAAUAGAAUUAUCCUGGAACCUCUGGAAGCCAUAACUGGGAUAUUCUAUUACUCAUGAGCAAUGAUUUUCACAACCACUUCUGGAAUAAGUCGUAUCUUCCCUCACAGUUUAACCUCCAGCCAGGGAUUUUUAACUGAGUCCUUGAAUACUAUGAAGUAAAAAUGUCACUGAACACUAAGAAAUCAUUCAGUAUGUCUCUGUGGCCUUCACCACAAUUCCUUGGUGUUAACAUUAUUGGAAAGGGCUCCCCACCAUUGUGCUGCCUCAUUUAUGUUUGAGUUUGAGACUUGGUUUACCACUGUUGUGAAGAAAAGGUAACACCUAGAUUGAGAUCAGUGUGUCUAGCUAACCACUUACUGUACUCUUGCACUAGCUGAGAAACUCUUCAGACUUCAUAGUACUACUCUAGCAGAGCCAGCUUCCUUCUGCUGGAAAGUGGGGGUGUCCCUCAUACUUAACACUGUUGCUCUGAAGAAACACAGGAAUCCUGGAUGCCUGCAGCACAACUGUGAGGCCAUUGACAUGUGCAUGUCUUGUAAUGAGGAGACAGGAGUUGAUGUGAAGCAUGCAACUCUGCCAAGGCCUUGGUGGAAAGCAGACAUUCACAUACAAAGAGACUCAGUGUUUCCUCAUAGAAGUAACUAAGCUCUCAAAGUAAGUUUUAUAGUCCUCAGUGUUUAACUCUACUUCUUUCCUUAGUCAGCUUCCAACGUGAAACUAUUUCUGUUCCCCAUUUCUUGCACUGCAUCAUGCACAUUUGAUGUCUACAGUGGUGCUACAGUAUUGCUUUGCAAGGAUCUUGCAAGCUCCAGUCAAUGUGAAGUACAAAAGGGACAAUAAAAUUAUUAUUGAGGAACAAAUGCAACUGCAAUUACUUCUUGUACCCACCAGGAUAAUAUCAAUAGGAAAUAAAUAUCCUUGGGAAGAUCCAACAGAAUAAAUCUAUCCUGUCUAUAUGACUGGAUGGAUAAGGUAGAAAGUAGUACUAUACCUGAACUGCAUUUUCAGUACUUAUCAAUUCUUACUGCUGUAAUAAUAGUAGACAAAGCUGCAGGGAGCUACUGCCCGUUAUCCAAGAAACAUACACUUUCAAAGUCAGCAAUGGAGGCGAAUUAAUUGCUGAAGCAACUGCUUGUGGAAGAUGCUUUGUUCCAGUGUUGUGAAAGCUGAUAUUAAUGUAGAGAUAAGUGUAGCCUAGUCUGUUCCAUAGAUUAUAAUAAUGUAUAUUUUGUUUGUAUAAACAGUGUCUUCUUGGCAGAUCUUCUUCUGCAGCCAACAGAUUUAGCUACUAAAUGGUCAUGGAAAUAUGAUUUGAAUUGCUCUCCAUACUGCUGGCAAGCCUUUGUGCUCUGAGGAUAGAACAGAGGAGCAUGCAAUUUGAGGGGUUUUCCUUACCUUCACUAAAGAAACAGCCCAGCUGACAUCAGGAACAUGGCAAUCAAAAGAGUAAGCUGCCUUUGGAAAUCUUGUAGCCAGGACUUGACUUGAAUGGGUAAAUUUAUAAUGCCACUGCCUUGUCACUUUGUAAUUUUGGCAUGGCAGCUUCUUCUUGCCCAAUUCCUCUUUCACGCCAGCUCUUCCUCCUGGAGGUGAUGUCAUUAUCUGCGUAUCUCUAGAUGCAGAGAUAAUUUAUGUUAACCAUGCUCUUUACCACAUUUCUACAAGAACCAUUCCUCUUCCUGGCUUAAUGCCAUCACUUUUGAAAAGUACCAUAUCCUCAGUGAUGCAGGACAAUACCCCUUGUCUACUUUUUCUACCAAAAACUUAACAUGUCCCUUAGUCCCCACAAUUUCCCACUACUCUCUAUUUGACUUUCUUUUCCUCCUCCUCUUCCUGGUUCUGUUGGCUCCAUGUUUCCACCUCUCCCUGUGGUUUUCCUCCUCUUUCAUCAUCCUGUCCGUGCCGUCAGCGAUCCUUAGCAUAGGCAUACUAGGAAUGCUGGGAAAACAAUGCUGUAAAAUGAACUCUCACUAUUUAGACUGGUUUCCAACUCAUUCUUUUAACAGGCAUAUGGUGUUAAUCUAAACUGUCCGACACAUUAGUGGGAGGGAAGUCACACCCAGAGGAUUAUUAAAACAUUUUAUCUGGCAGAUGCCACCAUAUUUAUUGAUAUGAAAUUUCCCUUCCUCCAUAUAAGCCACUGAAGCCUCCCUCCGAGAAGUUAUUUUGAAUUUGUUAUAGCUAUAUUAAAAUAUUUUGUUAAACUUCACUAAUUUCUUCUGGUGCUAAAGUCUGCAUUCCUCUUUCAGGAAAAGUUAUCACUAAGGUCAAUAGGAUUUUAAAAUAAUGAACGACUUGUUUAUUGUGUUUGGCUAGUUGAACACAUUAUAACUUUAUAUAUAAUUGCUGAAGGCUACAUAUAUUAAUGUAUACUCAUAUCUAUAUGUGUGCAUAUGUAUAUUUGAAUUUGAACUCCAAAAUCUCUAUUUUAUAUAAAAUAUUCCUAAAGAGAACACUUAAAUUCAAUUAAUACUGACACAUCAAAGUACUACAAAGCAGGGCCAAAGUAAAGUAUUUCUUGAAUUAACGUUCAGAUAUUCCGGCAGUGUGUAAGAAUGUAAGCCAAAACUGGAAAGCAUUUAUACAAAAUUACAGGAGAUAUCUGAAGAAAAAGUAUCAAAGUUUCCUUAUUUGUCUUUCAAAAAUACUCUCUUGAAUUGGGUGUCCUACAGUUUUAAUCAAACAACCAGAGCCAAUACAAAUACAAAGAAAGAGGGUCAAAGGCAAUUUAAAAAACACCCUUUUGGAAGAGUAGAAGCUUUCUGUUUGGUUUUAGUUUCACAGAGGAAACUGCAUUCAAUUCAGUCAAGCACUGCGUUUUCAAAAAUUUUGUGGUUCUGGCUUAAUUCCACAAAAGAGAAAAACUUCAAAGUUAAGGAUUGAGCCUCCAAUAUUUGGUCACAACAUGACACAGUUGCGUAAAAUUAAGGAUGGUAACCCAUAGUGAUAGAAGUGGGGAGGGAGUGAUCUCUGACUCUGGAUUUUCUUUCUUUUGCUGACUGAAUCAUAACAAAUUCAAAACACAGAUGAAUUGGUUUUGCAGCUGUCUUUGCUUUUUCUUUUGCAAGCAGGUAAGAAAAAGCCUUCUAGGAAACCUGCACACAUCUGUUGGUAACUAAACUUUUACUGAUGAUUUUAUGUUUCUCAGAUAGGUACUCGACUUAACUGCUCUUUCCUGGUGACCUGUUUGGUGUCCUUUGUUUCUGCGGGUUCUUAUGAGCAGCCUUUUUUUUCAGCUGGCUGGCACGGGACCAUGGCCAUCAUAUCCAGUGACAAGCAGUACAGAGGACUGUGUUCAAUUAGGGACAGGAGGUUAUGUGGCCAAAUGGCUGAAGCAUGCGGCAGCAAUGCUGCUGUGAAGCAGAAUCUGGAUGUGAGCUGAUUUCUCCCUUUUCUCCACAUGCAAGACUUAGGGCCCAAGCACAGGCAGGCUGGGGCAGAGUGGAUGCUCAGGCAGCCGAGGCUCCAAGAUCAGGUGAAGUAGGAUUCUCCUUCAAUGCAGCACCACAGAGAGCAGAGAUGUCCAGAAGCAUCUACCAUGUGCACAGCUAGAUAAGUAUUUCUGAGUAGGAGUUAUCAGACAGAAUCUCUGUUAUUUUACCAUUAUAAAAAGAAUUCACUUGAGCUUUUCCAAUUGAAAAUAAAUUAACCAGCUCUAAUAGCAUUUGGAAAGCAAUGGGCCUGAUUGGUCUGUUUAAACUCCAGGAGGUAUACUGACACACUGGGUUACCUAGAGCUGGAGUUUCAUAAUGCAUGAAACUAGUCAAUUGCUCUAACAAUUACAUAUUUUUUUGAGAAUUGUAUUUUGGUUUUGGUCAAAUCUAGAUUUAAAAAAAAAAAAAAAAGUAAAUUGUUGGCAAAACAAAAAAAUAAUUAUAAUCAGGAAAAGCAUCUUUUUUGUUCAAUCCAAAAUAUUUAGUUCAGCUUCAAAGAAAAGCUUCAUUUUUUUGUCUUGGACCAUUACACACGUUUUAAAUCUUUUUUCUUUUUAAAUCUAGGCCAAAUUUAAAAUGGACAGCUAGAAGUCUUUGUUUUGAAAUUGAAGUGUUUUGGCAGUUCUAGAAUGAAAUGCUCCAUUUUGAAAAUACUAAAAUGAAGUGUUUUGACAUUUCAUUUUUCUUUCUCUGCAUUGUUUCAUCUGGAUCUACUUGUUAAAUUCCAUUCAAAUUCAGGAGGAGACCCAGUGCCUCUGAAAUGCCUCUGUGUGGUAUAUUUAUUAUUUGUCAGAAAGCAGUGAGUCAUUAAGCUCUGCAUCAGUUCAACGUUAAAUAACAGGAGAGGAUGCUUAAUAGGGAAUUGAUUAUAUACAGCUAUGUUUCUCCCUCAUAAUUACUGUUGUUAGAGUGAGCACCCAGCAGUGUGGAGCCACUUCAGGAAGGACACAGCUUUCAUCCAUCUGGCAGAAGAGGUGGCGGACAGUUCCCAGAUCCUUCAGCUGGUGCUGUUUUCUCCCCUCCUUCAAGUAGCGUCCGCUUUUCCCAUUGUUACACAUUACAUUUCUGAAGCAUGUGUUAAAUGGGAUGCUGUGCAGCUGAAAGAUCACACGUCUCAAAUGCUCACUUGGCUCUCCCAUACUGAACUGACUGCCUGAGUUGCAGCUCUCUGACUAGGGGAAUGGUUGCUAUACUCUUGGAACACUACUUAGCUGCCCAAGAGAAACUGCCAAUUUAAUGUGGCUCUGGUGGGGAUUUAACUUGGUGUUUCAAGGUGUAUUGGUAAAUUCCCUGCCUUAGUAUGGUAUGGAGAAAAGACAACCUGGAUGGAUAAUUAUUCACAAUGAAUUUGAUCCUUAUCUGCAAGCUGACAAGGAAACAAGGACACUGAUGGAAACCGAUGGAUCCUAUGUCAAAAGAAAAACAAGAAACCCAUAAAGCAAAAAACAGCAAUAACAACAACAAAACCCCCCACAGCUGGCUGCAGGAUGACAGCCAGCAAACUAAUAGGUGAAUUGUAAAGAACUCCAUUCCCAAGGGGCAAAGUCAAUAAAGAAAGGACUGGAAAAAAAUAGGGAAAAGUGAAGACAAGCCAAGGCUUAUAUUUCUUGUAAAAUUAACAGAAAGGAAUAACAAUGGGAAUUUUAGAAUUGAAAAGACAAAGGCUGAUGAACAGUUAGUUUUAUCUAGGAUAGUUGACAUUCAAUACUCACGUUUCUAUUUGUGCUAUCCCCUUCAAAUAUAACUGUGCUCAUAAAGCUGACUGUCUCAUUAUUAAGUGUCCUUUGUUCAUGCUUUUAGUCUCUUUCUUAAAUUUUGACAUAAACACGUUCCAGAAUAGUGUGAACAAAAUGCCAUCCCCAGGAGGACUAGCAUUUGUAGACAGGUUGUGCUGUGGACAUUUCAUUUCAGAAGCCAAGACCUUUUCUUACUCCCCUCAAGAAAUUUGUAAACACUUCUGCUUUCACAUUUAUAAAAUGUACUUAUACAUAAUCUCCCAGAUCUUGGAGACAAAAAACAUGUUUUGGGAAUCAAUUAUGUACACAUUUUCACAUAUUUUUUUCCAUUUUGAACUGAGCAUUUCUACGUAUCAUAGAUUGGUCGUUUUUCUCUGUCAUUGAGUGAUGAUAUGUCAUAGGUAAAGGAUUUUUGACAGUGCUUAAAGCAGAACUGUGAUAAAUAAUGCAGCGCCAAGACUUCAGUAUUAGCACAGUCAACAAACUCCUCAAAGUAAAUGAUAACAUUUACAUAUUUUACCACCUGCUGACACCAUGUUUCCAUUUGUACUGACUCCAGUAGCAGACUAUUUCUAAAGCCAUAGAAAGACUUGAUUAUUUUGCUGUUUUUGAGCAGUCUGUGAAGUCCUUGAGCAGCAGAUUUUGGAAGCUAAAAGACUGGCAUGGCUAGUACAUUCUUAGUAUUCUUUUGUAUCCUGUAGUCAACUACUGUUGACCACUGCUGGAUGUAAAACAUAUAUUGGGAAGUUACACCUUUGGCCUUCUCCAGAAUGGCCGCUCUUGCUGAUGUAUUCUGGGGAGAAAAAAAAACAAAAACAACAACAACAAAAAAACCCACUACCAAACAACUUACAAACAAAACCCAGACAACACUCACACAAAUUAAUAAAUAACAAGAAAUGAUCUUGUUAGCAAGAUUCUGAAAGCAAAAUGCUGAAAAUCAAGCAAAAGAAAAAUAGAAGUUUCUGUCAAAGUGACUUGGCUACAUUUUCCUUAGUUCUUGGCUAGAACAUUUCCAUUGAUAGAGUUGCUAAGUGCAUUCUAUUUACAAAUAUAAACACUUGAUUUUGAUCAGCAAAAAUGCAUCAGCACACUUGAACAGUGUCAAUGAUGACAUAAUUACACUCAUAAUUUCCUCUCUGUAAUGAUUUUUAAAUGUCAGCAGUCAUUUUUUGUCUAAUUGUAGCUUGCAUGUCAGCACUUCCUCUUAAAACAGCAUGUUUCUCUCUGCUGGAAUUUCACACCUCUCCACUUCACCAGUGAAGAUAAUGCAUAUGAUAUAGAAGUUCAGGAUAUUUUCACUUCUGUGCUGUUUUACUAUUUAACAUCAAGCAGGCAGAAUGAAGGUGUUUUUUCUUUUCUUUUUUCUUUUUUUCUUUUCCAAGUGCAGAGUUUAAUCAUCUAAGCUGUAAAUAAGUAUUUGAUUUUAAUGAACAAAUCAAGUAUUCAUUUAUUUUGCCUCCCUGCUGUUGCUGUGCUAAUAACCUGUUUAUAAGUGUGGACGCGUGAUAAAAAUAUUCUCACUCAUCUCUGUUGCAUACUUACUUACUAGAGGAGAAGGCUUAUCCUGCAAUGCCAGACAGCUUCCUGCUCAGUUCAGUGUUUAACAAACUGUGAAAGCAGGUGACCCUUUCUCUGCAAAGACCGCCUGCUUAACGAUGUCACUGCUACUGUCUUAUGCUAUGGCCUAGAAAGUGACUUAUGAAAUGCAAUUUUGCAUGGUGCCAGGCCUCAGGAUACCACAGCAUAACAAAUAGGUGCAUCUGGAGUUCAUCUCAGCC